UCCACUUCAGCCAACUAAACUAAUCCUCCCAACCUAACCAAACGAUCCCUCUCUCUUCAGCCAUGGCUGCCACCCCUAUCAUGUCACCUCACCUCACCUCACUUCGCCGCCACCACACCCGUCGGACCACCGGAUAAAGAACAAACAUCACCUCCGCUGUCAACCCCAGUCCCUUUCUCCCCUUUUCUUCAAGUGACAGAGCUUCGAACAGCUCGUCCAAGUCGAAUCAGCCCCCCAAAUCAAGAAGCACGCAAGGAUCUUUGGGUUUCUAGGCCGAUCUUCCAACAAUCCCCUGGGUAAAGGCUCGUUUCAGUCCGUUGGAGCCUAAAACCAUGAAGAAACCACUAGAUUCAGACCUCUAGCCUUCAAAUCGCUCUGAAAAGGUUCUCGGCUAAGCAAGGACCACUCCGAGCGGAUUCUGAGAUUCGCCAACUACAGUAGCCUCAGUUCCCUGUCACGAAGAAGGUAAUCACACUCGUCUUCUCUUCGUCUUUAAUUUACUAGAAGUGGAAAUGUAGUCGUUCAAGUAUUUCUCAUCGUUUGGUUUAACGGACUGAACUGUGUUCGGACAAUGGUUGUGGCUGUUCGUUUGAUUCCGUGGGCUUGAACCCAAUUUCUGCCUUGUUUGUUCUAAUUUGUUGCAUAAAAAUGGUUAAGGAAGACUAAUUACUGUUAUGAAUUGUUAACUACCUAGUCGACUAUGUGCACUGAUGUUCACUUUAUCUCAAAAUGUUAUUUACAUUAUUCAUGAUAUUCUAGUUCUGUUACUGAAUCAAAAUGUGACAAUAAAAUGGUAGAUUAUGAAUUUUAAAAGGCGAAUCUGUCAAACAUGUAGUUGAUUAAAAGGCUGGUGUUGUGAAUAGCUUCAUUUCUCGUCUAAAUUCUUCUUUGAAGUAUUUAUGUGAAUCUGUGUUUGUCAUUUCUAGUUAAAAACCAGCAUGAAAAGUAGUGAGAAUAGGCAACCAUAUUGGCCCAUAAACAUGUUCAAAACUCUCUUCAGUUCCUUAUGUUAGAUAUCUUGCUUUAGUACCAUUUUUUUUACCAUUGCAGACUUUACUGGUAAGUCAUUUUUUAGAAAUGUUCCACAUAGACCUAAUGGGCUGUUACACUUGUCAUUAAGUCCUCUAUAUACCAUCAGGUUUUCUUUUCUAUGUGUCGAUAACAAGUUUUAAAGUAUCGGGUUUGGGUGAGCUCAUCAUGAACUUUAAAUCUUACUGUUUGGAAUUAUAGCCAUAAGAUUUAGGGAUUUUGAAUGAACAUGACAAUUUGUGAAACAUGAGACUGUUUUCUUACUUCGAGUACCUGAAGGCGUGUUUAAAUCCAAUGACUAUUUCUUAUUUCUCUUGUGUGUUUGGAAGUUGCUAAUAACAUGAGCCUAUAAAGUAUGUUAAAACUUUAUUGAGAUUUGUUAAGGUCCCUAAGGCUGUUAAGAAUUUUGCAGAAUAUAAUUAACUCUUAAAUUCCCUGUUAGCAUUGUAUUCCUUUCCCUUUUGAACUAAUGUAAGUUGAUUAUUUUGUCAUAUCUUAUUAAAUCACAUAAAGAAAUAGGAUUUACUCUAACUUAGGUACUAUGGGAGAUUUAAUUUGUUUGGUGCAUAAUGUGAGUAAUGAAUGUAAUGUUGCAGUUCCAUGUCCCAAAUGUUAAAGGAAGCUCACGAGUUUGUUUAGUUUAUUCGAGAUUAACUUAAUCAGUCGGUUUCCUUUGAAAAGUUUUUUUUUUUUGUUUCCAAGUACUACUACUGUGUGUUUCUUUAGAUAUCAUAUGAUGUUUAGCCUUCGUUAUUGACUAUCUAGAAUUGUCCCUAAUCCUUAUAUUUUUUUCCUUUCUUUUUCAUGAAACACUCGGGGGCAUUUGGAGUUAUGGCAACUCCGGAUUCUACCUGGAUCAGAGAAAAACCAGUAGCAGCCUCCUUGGCUCGUGCCUAGCGGCCUUUGUUCGUGUCAAAGAGUCCACGUCCUUCUUCCUGCCUUCAAACUUUAUGUCCUUGUGUUGACUUGCAUAUAUAUGUUUUUUUUUUUUAUCUCUUGACUAACAUUCAUCUUUGAUUUGUAGUUAUGAAUUGAUUUGUAGUUAUGUUUGGUUUGUGUAAACCAAUUGAGAGUUAUUAAAAAUUAUAGUCAUUAUUUUUCCUCCCCCCUUUAAAUAUUUUUAGUACACUCGGUUUAGGCAUGCCUAGAAUCAUGUACUUUGACUAGUCGUUUCAGCGGAGAAACGCAUGAUGCAAUUUUCAGGUCU